CAUAUACUCCCUCCGUUUGGAAUUACUCGUCAAAGAAAUGAAUGUAUCUAGAUGUAUUUUAGUUAUAGAUAUAUUUAUUUUUAUUAUUUUUUGUGACAAGUAAUUCGAACAGAGGGAGUAUGAA
rnacentral:pre_miRNA from 1 species